GUGGAUUCUGUGGUCUGCAUCUGAAAAUGCUGACGACAGCCCACACCACGGAGGAAUGCAUCUGCUUGUGGCCGAGUCCUUCCCGGUCCCUCGCAGGCACCUUCUGAGCAUGGAGCCUGCCGUCCUCUGGGACUAGGCUGUGCCACUCCUCUGGUUCCAGUUCAGUGGAUUUGUACAAGUGUCAACACCCAUGUCACCGCCAGCUGACAAUAUCCUGAUACAGACUCUUUCCAUCACUGCCUGAUACGGUGUUACAAAAUCAAGGGAUUAUACAGCCGCAUAAGGAAGUUUCCUCAAUGCGGACCAAACAUACCACGGGAGGUAAGGUGACAAUGGAGCUGAAGUAUUCCUGUCUUGACUAUCCAACGGCAUGAGGUCUCAUCCCAUCUGGAGUGACGUUAACACUCACGUGACGCCACGGUCUGGCGUGAGGUGGUGUCCCAGCUGAAAUGACGUUUAAGCCCAUGUGACUUCCCACUGGCGUGACCUGGCGUCUCAGCUGGAUUGACCUUUGAACCCAUGUGCCCGUGUAGCCGGUGUAUGUCGGUGUAAUGUGUGGCGACUGCAAUGAAGUCAGAAGUCACGUUAUAUCGCAAUCAGCCUGCUGUUUAUGCCCACCUAACGUUUUAGCCUGCGUUGCAGCUGAAUCACCUUAAAGCCCAUGCAAUGUCCCGAUAAAAUGACGUGACAAGUCAUAUCACGUGACAUAGUAUGGCAGCUGUGGUGACCUUUGAACCCAUGACGUUGGCGUGACGUAGCAUCAUGGCUGAAAUGACAUCGCGGACCAAUAGCGUGACCUCUGAAUCCACGUGAUGUCCAGAUAGAGACGUUUAAGCUCACGUGACUUCACACUGGCGUGACGUGGCGACGCAGCUGGGGUGACCUUUGACCCUACGUGACGUGGCGACGCAGCUGGGGUGACCUUUGAACCUACAUGACGUUGCUAUGACCUUGCGUCAUGGAUGAAAUGACGUCGGAGUCCCCUAGCGUAACCUCUGAACCCAUGAGACGUCAAGACGGAGUGACGUUUAAGCUCACGUGACGUCGCACUGCCGUGACGUGUGCGUUGCAACUGGAUGACCUUUGAACCCACGUGACGUCGCAGUCGGUGUGAUGUUACGUCGCAGCUGGAAUGACGUUUAAGUUCACGUAACGUCGAGGGCUGCGUGAUGUCGCAGCCAUGGAGUUAGAAGGCCAGACGCUGAGGUUUCUGUGGGAAACUUUCUGCUGACUCGCUGCCUCCGGAGGCCUCAGCUUACAGGUCUGUGUAAUGGGGAUGGAAUUGGGGCGUCCGUCCUGCCUGCAGCAUUGCCGGCUUGUCUGCACUUGCGCUGUACAGGCGCCCCCCAUCAGAUUGAGUGUCCGGGAUCACGUUUCUCCUCCGGGGAGCAGAACGUUUAGCCUGUUCCUUGUGCUCGGCCUGAACCCAGCACCCUCGCCACGCAGCUUCUCCUGAACUCACUUUCCUGCCCAGGGUCUCGGGCCCGGCCUCCUGCCGCCAUGUGCCGUCUGCCUGAGUCACCAGCUGGCGUGCAAGUUCCCUGUUCCUGGCCCUGAGCCUGCCCUCUGGUUUGGUCUGAUAUCCUCAGGGAGCGCUCAGCAGGUAAAGCAUUGAAAUGCUGAACUUUUACAUUUCUUGUAACUUUAAAACUCCAGGGGUUGUUGAACAGGAAGCGGGAAAGAAACCCACCAGCCCAGCCCUUCCACCACCUGCCGCUCGCUCGGGUCCAGGAAGAGUCCCUGAAGCUGUGCUGCUGCCCUUUGGGAAGUGUGCUGGGACCUCACACUCAGCCUCUCCUCUCCCCCAAGCAUGGGCUCCCUGCCUCAGUGAGCGUGUCCCUUACCUACUAACUCCUCCAGUUUCCUCGUGCCCUGUCCCUAGUCCUGUGGCUCUCCUUCCCUUUUGCCUCUCAUCCAUCUUUUUCUCUCCUUCCUCCUGAUCUCAAUCUUCAUUUGGGUUCAGAGCGUGUGUCCCCUCGUUACAAGAAUAUUACAAAGUUACAAAAGCAUCCUAACGAGCCUCUGUCAUUUCCAGUCGUCUCCCAUGCAAAUCGCCUCUGUUCCUGGAAUGUUCUUUCUCAGACGCAGAUCUGAGUCAGCGCCUUGCUUCAAGCCCCACUGCCCACGGGGUAAGGUCCGCUCUUGUUAGCACGGCUCAAGACCCUUUAUGACCUGGCCCCUGCCGACUGCCAGCCUUCUGGCUCUGGCUUAUAUUGACCUUGCAGUUCCCCCAAGGGUCUGUUCUCUUUCCCACCCGUUCCUCUACCUGGACCAUCUGUUGGCGGCCCUGGCAAACUCCUACAUGUACCGAAGCGUCAGCUCCAUCAUAACCUCAUCCAGGAGGCUUUCCGUCUCACCCUGUGUUCCCUCGGGCAGAGCACUUGGCACGUGGGAUUGCAGUUGUCAUGCACUUGGCUGCCUCCUUCGCUCAGGGGCCACAUUUUCCCUCCCCAAUCUCCACUGCCCCAUAAAUCCCGGACGGAAUUCCUUACAAUGUGAAGGAUGUGUAUUGCAAACAGCAGACGCAGCCACUCUGCUCUGCAGGUGUUACCCUGAGAGGCGUUGCUGCUGCCCCUUGCCAGUGUGUCCUGUGGUUUUUCUCGGUCCCCGCCUGGCCAAGGCUUGGGUACCUGUGCUGCAGUCCCACUCGGAAACACGAGGUGGCGCCGGGCGCUCAGCCUGCCCAGCCCCGCAGCAGCGGAGACCCAAUAAUCCAGAGUUGAUGGAUUGAUAUUCGGCUUGUUUGUGACGGGUGACUAGAGCUUACAAAUGCUUGCAUUUAUUCAUGGAUGUCCAUAUGUGAAUUUAAGAAAAAUUUGAAGGUAGCAUUUUGUCUUAUAUACAUUUGGAGUCAGACAGCGCUGGGUUUUGUUCCUUGGCUCUGCUGUUUCUAGCUGUGUGACCUGUCACAUUGUGAGUGUCCGAUUCCUGCUCUGCGGAACAGAGUUAAUACUUUCGGGACUUUACAUGAGAUGAGGUUUGCAAAGUUCCGGUCUAAGUCCUGGCACAUAGUAGGUGUCCAGCAAGUAUUCAGUUUCCCUUUUAAGUGUCCUUCUAUCACCUCUGUGCCUCAUUGCUUUCUAUUUUGUUUUACAGUAGCCUCUACAAACCUGUCUCGUGGCUGCUUAUUCCAGGCUGGGAAGGCCUCAGGACAGAACCUGUCUCAUUUUCUCUGUCCUCAGCACCCAGCCCAGAGCUGGGCACACAGUGGGUGCUGGGUAAAAUAAUCAGUGGAAGGAUGAUGAGCGCGUGUAGCUCCUCCCCCACCCCAGAUAAAAACCCGAGUUAUUCAGGUCUGAAUUCUUGGCUGUUUUUGCAUAAAACACAACUGGGAAAAUCUGGUAGAACCUGUACUGGCCCUUUUGCUGCCAGUGACCCUAGAGGCUUGUGUGUUUGGUCAUACUGUCUGGAGAGGCCAGAAGGAGACGGGUCGUGUGUCUGCAGCCCUGUCCUUAGGAAGGUGGCCUCCUGGGGCUGUGUGACAGGUGCAGCCCCUCAGGCAGACACAGGAUCGCCUGUGUCCCAGGCAGCCUGGGACUUGCCACCUUGGUUGGGCGGGCAGGUAGGCUGGGAUUGUCCUCCCUCUAUGUGGCUCUGUUUGAGUCCCUGAGGGACGAGAAUCAGGCAUCUCCCCUCAGCGGCUUUUCCUAGGCCUGGGGGAGCAGGAAAUUGCUUUGGGCUUGACAGCCCUUCCAGGCUGGAAAAGGGGAGCAACCCCAAAUUCCCUCCGGUUGAGGGGAGACCAGUGAGCGCCAUUGAGAUGUGGGGAGAUAGCUCAUGCUCGGGCGUGGGGGUGGGGUGUCUCACUCUGCGCUACGCCCUAGCACUUACACGUGAAGAGCGCUGCCGACUGUCCCCCAUCGUGACACAGGGAACAGUCACCUCCGACCUUGAGCCCUGACCAAGGUUCCCAGUGCAGAUCGAGCUCCGGCAGGAGGGGCUCUGCCCCCAACUUGGCCAAGAGUGAGUCUUGCCCUGUAGGUGACUUUUUUAUUUACGUGUGUGAUAGUUAAAUCACUGGAGAAAUGGGAAGUAAGAAUAGAAGGUUCUGGAAACCCCCCAGGUUUUCUAACGUGGGAGCAGCACAGCUGCUGCAGCUUGGGCGGCGAUGGGCAUAAAGGACGCGAGAGGAAGGGGGUUCCCUUUGGAAGGUACCUUUGAGUAGGAUGGUUACUUCUCAAGGGAUCUAGGCAGCAAAGGUCAUAGGAUGCUUAUUCAGUGAAACUUCUGUUUCUUCAAAGACUUUUUAUCAGAGAAAAACGUGGCCACACACAGGACAGAGAGUACGUAAUCUGUUGACUCCCCUCGUGCCCUCACCCAGCUGCAUGAAUUUCUAACAUUUUGCCCAUCUGUUUUCAUCUCUCUCCCAAAUUUCUUUUUCUUUUUGUUAGAAUAGAAGCAACUCAUCUUAGGAGGCUCAUAAGCCGCCAUAAAGACCUAGGAUUAGGAUCAAGGAAUUUAUGGAGCUAGGAGGGAGUUUGGACAUGUUUUUGUCCAACUUUCUUAGCUUAUAGGUGGAGAACCCGAGGCCCAGCCUGAGUUUGGGCCUUGGGACUUGCAGCGUCUGCACUCUCCCGGCUCCAGGCAACGGAAAGCCACUGGGGCCAGAGCAGAACCCGCUGUGAAGGCGGGAAAGCAUUAGGACUCUGAAAGGCCCACAGUCCUUGGUACGUGAUGAGGCCGUGCACACUGACCCGGGGCUCUCGAGUGUGGGGACGCCUCAUUUCGAUUUGGCCUAGGGGCCCACAGCUCAUCUUUGUAAACCCCUAGGGAAUUCCAGCAGGCCAAGGACGUAAGCUAGGGGCAGAGCCAGGCAGCAUGCAGGUCUCUGAAUGCUUUCCCAGCCCACAGUCUCUCUGCUGGGCUGUGUCCCUGCUGGAAGGGGGCAGGCUUUACAGCUGAGCCCCAGCUCUCUGGACCCCGGAGGCCUGGGGCCCCCCAGCAUCAGUCAUCUCCUAAAGGAGAAAAAUCUGUGAAGGGAGGAAGUCCGUCUUUUCUAAAGACCCUUCACUGUGCUGCCAUUGUGACUUCUGACUCAGGCCACCCCCAACCCCCAAGCAGGAACAUCUUCCCUGGUGUGGCUGAGGGUAACACAGGCAGAGCCAGGGGACAGGGCGACGUCUUGAGGGCAGCACCUUGGCACUUUGGGUAAACUGAGGCCCUUUCUGGGGCCUAAGGAAGUCCAGCCAGCCUGCCCGCUUCACCCUGCAGGACACAACAUCCGCGUGGCUUUCUAAGGGUCUUGGACACAGGCACAGCCCUCCGAGGGGAGGCAGCUGCUCCCCUGCACUGCCCUCUGCAGAGCAGGGAGUGGAGCCCUUGGCUGACUGAGGGCAUAAGGCCAGAGUCCUGGGCUAGGUCCUUCCAUGCUAAUGUUGUGUAAUCCUCAAACAUGCCACAUCCCAGCUUGCAGACAGGUUUCAGAAGCACCCCAGUGGCCCGGAGUUGGGAUGGUUCUCCCUGCUUCCCCCACUGCUGUCCCCUGGAGGCUGGAUGCAGAUGACAGCCCCCUACCCCCGCCUGGCCCGCCACCUGCACUCAGGGCUGCUGUCCUGUGCUCUUCUCUGAUGACCGCCCUGUAGCCCUGUCCGCACUCAUCUGGCCCGGCCCUCCUUGGCCACCUCCCUCUACCUGCGACCCCUGUGCCCACAACUUCUUCUCUUCUUUCACUUCAGCCCUGAGUUUCUCAUACAUUUACAUUAGGCAGGACUUUUUGAUUUCUCAGCGACAGAUGCUCAUUGAAUGUGAUCAGCUGAAUCACUGCUGCCGGUUCUUCACUCCUUCCCUGUAACCAAGUUAGGAAUUCAUGCUUUUCUCCAUAUAACCACAGACCUUCCCGCUAGAGUAGGCAGAGUGUGUCUCCCAGCCUCAUUGGGGUUUGGCUUAGCUCUGAAACGUGCGUUAGGCAAUAGAAUGUUCAGCAGAUGGGACGUGAGUGAAGGUCGUAGACGCGCUGCGUACUUUGGUUGGGUCUCCUGUGCCUCUGCUGUCGGCCGGCCGGGAGAGUUUGUCCACGGCAGCGGCUGGUCCGGGAACUAGAGGCCUGUGGUGCUGACUGGAACUCGGCCCACAGCCUGAAGCAGUGUCAUUAGUCAAUCCUCAGUGAGAACAAUACAUGCUCCUGUAAGCCAGGAAGGCUUGGGAAUGGUUUGGUACACAGUGUUAGUACAGUGGUGGCCGACAGAACACUGAUUAAACAGCAGAGAGAACUUUAUUGGCUGACACAGCUGAAAAGUCUGGCGCAGGGGUGGCUGGGCUCCGGGCCUCCACUGGCCUAAGGCCCUGCCACUCUUCGUAUCUUAGGCAGGCGCUCCCACGCUUUUCCGUAUUCAUCCAGCUGUGUUCCAGGCCCUCAGGCUGCAGGAUGAACAGAGAGGCCUCUGCCCUCGGGGAGCUUACGUUCUACUGGGAGACAGGCAGUAAAAACGGCAGCAAACAAAUCCGUCAUCUAGUGCCAGGCCGUGAGAAGUACAUGAAGGAAUACGGGAAGGAAGACAGCCAUGCAGAUACUCUGAGAAGCAUGGGAGCCCCAGGGCCACCAGGCGCAGCAAGCGAGGUGGCGGUGAUGCAGGGGUGAGGCAGAAGGGGCCCAGGGACCAGACGGUUGGUCUCUCACAAGCACGGAAGUUGGGAAUCUUGUUCCAGUGUUAGAGGAAGCCAGACAGGGUUUUGAUCAGGAGAGCGUCAUAAAAUAUAUAUUUUUGUAACCCUUGAGAGUAUAUUCAGUGUGUGUAAAGUGCCAGUUUUGUAAAACAAGCCACUUCAGGUGUCUUUAAAGUCUGCUUUGAGGUAGCGGGGUGGCCCUCUUCCAGUUCCCGUGGGUCCAGCUGCCUCAUGGUAAUCAGGUAUUUAAUCUUAGAUUGAGGGUGAAUCAAACUCGCGAUGGGUCUGCCCACUCACAGUUACAGCAAAGUCGUCAGAGGUGAUGGGAUAGUGGGGAGAAAGGGCUAGUGGGGGAAACGGGGACAGAAAGUACAGAGCGUUCUUUUGAGGAGUAGAAAAAUGUGGCAGCCGCAGGGACACGGGAGUCAAGGGAGGUUGUGUCCUUUUUCUCUCAAGGUCAGAGGCGUCCCAAAUGUGUCCCUUGCUGAUGGGACCUGUGAGGAGUGAGGAACGGUGUUGCGGGGCUGGGAGAUUGUGGAGAGCACUGCAGGAGCCAAAUGCCUGCCCUGUCGGGGGGCAGAGGGAGCAGACCACAUGGCAUUGCACCCCAGGACCUAAGAAUAGAGGCCAGGAGGGACCAUCCCAUGAUGGGAAGGGAGGAGCCCAAAGCCCACCCUGCAUCCACUCACGACAGUGACGGCUCACCCCACGCACUGCGAACAGCGUUUCUUUCUCAGGAAACGUUAUUCCCACCCGCUUUCAGGAAUGUUCCGCGGAGCCGAACCCUGUCCUGAUGACACCUGUGGAGAAAUGCGUGUGUCGGCCUUUUAAUCCGAGACCACAGCGAAAGAACUCUCACUUGGACAAGAGGAAGAACUUACUGGAAGGACUCUGGGAUGCACCCACUACCUGAACAUGGGAGGGAGCCAUUGCAACCAAGGACUUGAUGGCCACUGGGACCCUCUCGUCUCCUCUCCUUUGUGCCUCUGGGUUUCAUUCACUUUCACUAACUUCCUUUCCAGAGUGAGAAACAGACACUGAAGCCCUUGGGCCCAGCCCGGAACGCGAGUGCCAGAGAAGCUGUGUUACCCUUACCGUGUUACCAAAAUUGAAAACCUUGACGGAGGGCUCUCAUGGGCUCUGUGUGGGUCACGUGCCCACCCCGGCUCAACCAGCUGCAGUCGGGGCUGAAGGGUUUUGUAGCAAAUGUGAUAGCUCCAGGUGGAACCAUGAAUGGGAACUGUGAGUGGAAGAUUUCUCCAAAGAAAGGGAGGUGCUGUUUCUAAGCAGAUCAGUGAGGACCCACUUCCUCCUUACGGGGUGGGGGGGGGCACGUCCUUGGUGCUGAUCCAACAGGGUGGGUAGCUGUGUGGCAGGUAUUCACUCCCCUCCCUCUGGGGGGUCAGCCAUGUGACCUGCUUUGUCAGGGGGUUCUGUGGUUGGGCUGGCACUCUGCUGCUGCCAUCGCCGCGAGAAAAGUCAUGUCGGCCACGUGUCCCUCAGGGACCAGCAGGUGAGUGUGUGUGUGUGUGUGUGGAGGGGUCUGACCUGGAGCUUGGAGCAGAGUCUCCAGUCUAACGGCCCUGUAGGCCCGAGCUGCCCGCAGACAGUGGGCAUGACCCCCGAAUGAUUAGCGGUGUGUUGCGUGGAGUUUUGGGGAAGUUUGGUACGUAGCACUGUGGUAGCAACAGUCGCUGGUACAGCUGGUAGUGGAAGCCCUGUCCUAGUCACACUGUCCUGGGCGGCCUGAGGGCCUGAAGCCAUAGUUUGGAAAAACCAGGCCUUUCCUGACGCUCUCCAGUUCCCACCGAUCUCGCCCCAGACUCUUUGAGGCUCAGAUGGAGGCAGUGUUUGCAGGGAAGGUGUUCCCCUUCUGUCUGCCCAAGGCUGCUUCUGAGCUUUUCUCACUGAGCCUGCCGGGUGUGUCCACUCAGGGUCUGGAUGCUUGCUACUGUCUGGUCAGGGCGAUAGCCCUCACCACCUCUGACUGAAAUUGCCUCAGGAGCCUCCAUUAGUCCUCAGCAAUAAGACUAACCAAGUUUUCUAUAAAAAUGGACAAAAAUUAUAGCAGAUGCUUCACAAAAAGGUCUACACGUGGCCAGUAAAGACACACAAAAAUACGCGUCAUUAUUAGUGAUGAAGACACAAAUUAAAACCACGAUGAGCUGUCGCUACACACCCACUGGAACGGCACAAUUAAAAAGACUCACGACACCAAAUGUUGGCGAGAUGCGGAGCACUCGGGCCUCGCAUGUCCUAGUCGAAGCACAAAAUGGUACACUUUGGAACAUAGCUUGGCAGUUUCUAAUGAAUUAAACCUCAUCCUUACAAAAAAAAAAAGAAAAAAAACAAGUCACUUGUUGUCUGACCUGAAAUUCCACUCCUAGGUACUUACCCAAGAUAAGUGGAGACAUGUGCACACAGAGACCUGCCAGCCACCGGGAUCAGCUUCUUUCAAAGUGCAACAUGCAGUUACUGUGUGACCCAGCGGUUCCACUCCUAGAUGUUCAGCUGUGAGAAAUGAAUACUUACGCUCAUUAAAAAAACCUGUAUGCAGAUGCUCAUAGCAGCUUUAUAAUUAAUUGCCCCAAACUACACAAUGCAAAUGCCCAUCAGAACAGGGGAGCCAGUCGUAUGUGCACAUGGGACGGUGUUCAUCAGCAAUAGAAAGGAACAAACUUCCAACACCUCAGCAAUGAGGAUGGCUCUCCACACCAUCAUUCUCAGUAACAGAAGCCAGACAGAAAGAGCACAUCCUGGUCGAUUUCAUUUUUAUGAAAUCUUAGGAUGGGGAAAAUUACCGACUGCGAUGCCAUUAGAUCAGCAUUUGCCUGGGGCCAGGAGGUAGCAUGGAACAGGCUACAAAGGGGCUUGAGGACACAUCUGGGGGGUCAAAAGGUUUUAUGUCUUCAUAGGAAUGUUUACAUUGGUCAAAACCCGUCAAAGUGUCCAUCUAUAGGGGAUGGGUUUUAUAUGUGGCAAUUAUGGUCAGCGAAGCUGGUUAAAGAAAACUCUGUUAUCUGUGAGUCCUUGGGAACCAGCGCUGUAAUGUAGAUCUGUCCAAAUGACCUUCCUAAAAUGCAGCUCGGACUGCAUGCCUUCUGGCUUGCAACCCUUCAGAGAUGCUUCUCACUUCCCAGCGUCAGUCCCCAGCGCCUGGCCCCGUGCCCAAGCUGCUCCUCCCCCAGCGCAUGCACGGCCCCUGGUUCUGCCGUUCAGCCUCAUGGGAAACAGAGGCUGCUUGAUUCAUGCCUGAGUGUAUGUAAUUUACGAGUGCUGUUGCUGCCUGGGGGCAUUUCAUGCCUCCUCCGGGAAGCCCUCUCAUGUCAUCUGGACUGUGGCACUUGGCAGUCUGCAGUUGGAUGUCCUGGUGGUCUGUGUGAGACCCCGUCCCACUGCCGGCGAGCCCUGUGGGGGGGGUGUGUGUGAACAGGAUCUGGGUACUGGGUACCAUCGCUGCCCCAGCACAGGCCUGGCACGUGCUCACUGCUCCGUGCAGUUGGCCGAGUGGCCGAGGGUGUUCUCGCCUUGCCCCGUGGAUUAUUCUGAGUUUGUGGGCUCUCCACAGAGAAUUGCCCUCAAGGGGCCCAGUUUCGCUUGCCAUCACCGAGGAGCACACUUCUGCUUCCUCCGUUUGUGUCAUGUCUUCUGCCAUUUCGUGUAGGGCACUGGAAAGUCCGAGGCCUCCUGCCCACAUCACUUGAAGGCUAUAUUCAAAUCGUCUUUUCUCUUGUACUUCCCCCAAGAUGGCAUUUGGGAAAAGGAAAGAAAACUGUGCUUUCACUUUGCCAAAUCAAACUUAACAGAAAAUGUAAUGGCUUCAGCCACCGUAUCAGCCUGAUUGUGAAGCAGGCCAUUUGUAAAAUCUUUGUCGUUACUGGCAAUGAUAAUACUAGACCCAGCAGUGUCUGUCCCAUGCCAGCUCUCUGCUGGGCCCGUGGAGGAAUCAGUGGUAAGUGAGGGCCCUCUUCCUGGGACAGCCAGCAGUCUGGACUUGAACAGAGGGUCUGAGAAGCAGAGUGGCUGCUGGAUUUGCUAUUUCCCAGGCAGACUCCUGCAGGAGCACACGCUGAGCGUUUUCCUGGCUGAGGACAGUGGGCCUUGAAGGUGGAGAAGAUGUGGAGACGCAGGAAUGAAAGGGGAAAGCCGUCCAGUUAGAGACAGCAGGAAAGUCCCCAGAGUCAGAGCUGGGGCGGGAGGGGAACUUAGGCUGACUGGGGAGGUCAAGCCAGAGCAUGGCGACCUUUUGGGAGUUGGGGUCCUCUUCACAGGCCACAGGGAUCCUUGGAGGGUCCUGAGCUGGUGAACAGAACGAACCGUGGGUGUUCAAGUUAAGAGUCAGAGGGUGAGGGAGUACUGGUCUGAGUGACACGUGCACACAGGUGUGCAGGAAGGUGCGGGAUGCACGCAGGUGUUCUGUCUGUGUGGCGCUGCACGUGAUUUUAACCUCCUGCCCCGUCCUCUUCCAAGCCCCUGUGGCUCUACAGCCUUAGUUUUAGAACCCUACCCCAGACACCACAGUGCCUGUCUCCCCCGCCUGACAUCUCCCUUGGGUCAGGACUCGUUGUUCUCCAGUGGCCCACAUCAUCUUGUUCCCAAAUACAGCAGAACUGGGGGAAGUCGCGCUUGCUGAUUUGCUCAUAGGAUUUCCUGGAAAUCAGUCUCCUCAGAUAGAAACGAGCUCCCACCAUGUGGCGCCCCAUCCCACGGGGCCACUGGCUUUUCCUGACGGGGAGGGCCGCCCACAUUGUGUGUUCUGAUGGUCCAGGCUUGGCCCGACUGGACGGAGGGAGGUGAUGGGCAUGGAGUGGCUUCCUGCACACACUGCCCUCCCCUGCGUUACCGCUGAACGGUGUCACCACUGAAGGCCGGGGCCUUGGAAAUGGGACGUGGUCCUGACGCGCUCAGAGAAGCUGAGGUGAAAGCCAGGGCUGGGAGUCCCCUGCAGGGGGAACUUCCUCGGAAAGGUGAAAAGCCCAGCAAGUUUCUUCCCAGCUUCCACCUUAGAGGAAAAGAAAAGUUGACCUCAGCAGUGCCUCCCCGAUGCCGUGCACCCAAGGACAAGGACCCUGGGCCUGGAGCAUGCAUUCCUCUGGCCAUUUGUCAGCCCAGGAAGCGUCUGGGGUGUUCCCUCUUGUUCCCCGUCAAAACGGACCCUUACUCAGCCACUGUUUUCUGCUCCCUGUUACAGCAGGUGGUGGACUAGUGACAAGGAGAGCCCUGUGAUCAGGAGGGAGAUGAAGUGAGACCUCCUCCUCACCCCCUAGGGGACUUCUGUCCUCAGACCAUUCCAAUCCAGGGGCUCCCAGCCCUGUGGUAGCCUGGGGGGGGGAGAGGCAGGCGGGCUGGCGCCAAGUACUGCCUGCAUCACCCCAAGAAUGGAGUUGCCCCCCUGCUUUACCAGUCUAAGGGAUUGUGUGAGGGUGACGUGGGUCAGAUUGUGCACGACUGUGUAUGGAAGUGACCCUGCAUAUGAGCUGCACAUUGUGUUAGUUUUAAAACAUGGCUGCAAAUUCUUUGCCACUCUUCUUAUCAGUAAAAGUGGGCUGUGUUUCCUCUCCUCGAAUUUGGGCAAGGUGUGACUACUUGUACCAAUACAGUGUGACAGACAUGUGAGAUCUCAGCUGGGUUGUAAGAGGCCAUUCGACUUCCCCAUCUGUCACUGGGACCCUUGCUCCUGGGACACUUGAGCCACCCUGAGAGAAUUGUGACCCAGUGGAGACCGCCAUGCUGGAGAGACCACGCAGGAAGCUCGUGACACUGCCCUGGAGGGGCCCAGCCAGCUCCGGCUGCUGGAGUCAUUCCAGCCUCAGCCCAGACGCCGUGGAGCAGAGCCGUCACCUCUGCUGAGCCCUGCCCACAUCUCACAGUCAUGAGCAAAAUGUGUGAGUAUUGCUUUAAGCCACUAAGUAUUGGGACUGGCCUGUUCGGCGUGACAGGGCACUGGCCGUGUGUGUGUGGGGGGGGCGUGGCAGCUUGUGUGCGCCCAGUGAGUGGACGUGUGGCUGGAGUGCACCUACUGCGUGUGGCAGCAGCCACAGCAAUGCAGCCCACAGCGCGGCAGGCGCAGCCGUUGUUGGCUAGGGGCGAACUGUCCUCUUCCUGUUAGUUACUCUCACGAUAGGCGCCGCCUGUUCCCUCGGCCUCGUCGGGAACCCACGCUUUUCAGUAGGAACCUGUGGACAAAACAAGCACAGAGAACAUGCUGGUCAGGCCACAGGUCCUCAUUAGGUGUGGACAGACCAGGACAUCACUGCCCAGCACAGAGCAGUGUCACACAAGUGCGUUUCCAGAGCCUCGCAGCCAUCGCAUGGCCUCAGACCCGCUCCGUGGCCUUGGGGUGCGUUCCAGGAAGGGCCCCGUGUUGAUGCUGUCCUGCAGCCACUCCUGUAACACUUCCCUCAGCAGGUCCUCCGACUGACUGCCUGCGACCUGGCACAGCCCCUCCCAGAGUGGAAUUCUUCAGGGGCAGACGCUGUGUGUCCAGCACCUCACACAGCCCUGGUGCUCAGCAGCCGCUUAGCAUCUGCUUGUGGGGUACCUGAAUGAAGAUGGGGACACGUGCUGGUCCUCAUGGGACGCUGGUGCAUGCACUG